GUCUGUGGUCAAACCACUAUGAAUUUGCCCAAUCUGCUCUGAUCUCAUAAACUAAGCAGGGUAGGACUGGUUAGUACUUGGAUGGGAGACCACCUUAGUAAUACCAGGUGCUGUAGACU
ensembl:rRNA 5S_rRNA 5S ribosomal RNA